rnacentral:lncRNA from 1 species
AUUAAGACAAGACAAAGCUCUGAUAUUGUAAGUAUACUCUUGUCAAUCUAUCAAGGACAUGAAUUGGAAGAUGAUGUAUAAACCAAUGAAAUCCGUUGUCGUAAUAUAUAAAGUUUUGUUUGAGAAUGCUCCAGGUAUCUGGCUAUGGAAGGUAGAAUAGAAAUUGUAACAACAAAAUCUUAAUUCUAAUAGAAUACUAAUAAUGUUAAACAAGCUUUAAUCAAAUUCAAAGAAACUUCAAAGAAAUUUCAAAGAAAUAAUAAAAAAUCUUAAAGAAAUAUUAAAAUGAUCACAAAUAUAUCUCAAAUACAUGUCAAUUCAAUUUUAAUUUAAUCCUAGUUAAAAUCUUAUUAGACUUCAUUCAAACUUUAGGCCAAAACUAACUAAAUCUUAAAUCCUAACAAACCAUAAUAAAAUCCUAAAUCCUAAACUAAACCAUAAAUCUUAAAUCAAACCCUAAUCCUAAAUCAAAUCCUAACCAAACUCUAAACCCUAAACCAAAUCCUAAUCAAAUCCUAAUAAUUUUUACAAUAGAUUUAAACCUCAAUAACUAAUGAAUGAACCGUUG